AAAGGUAUAUUAAAGGACCUUCCUCCCCAAACCUCAUCCUCUGUCUCAUGUACAGUCACAAAGGUACAUUUCCGAAGAGUCCCCAAUAAAUCCUUUUGCCAAAACGAAGGGCGGAAGACUCGAAGGGAAUGCCCUAGUUGCACAGGAAUGUCAAAUGGUGAUGGGCAGCGGCCAGGAAUCCGCGCUCGGGGUUAUCUAACGUGUAUUUGUAGCACCCACUGCCACUUCUACCGUUACCGGGCUGAUGCUCUUUUAAAACAACAGUACUACCUCAACAAUUUCCACAUCCCUCCCGUACUACACGAGGUAACAUGCUGAUUCACGCCACAGGAGGAUGCCAGUGAGAAGCUGAGAGCGAUUUACUGCGAAUGCCCAGAUCACGCUACUGACCCUGUGAGAUGAGUAGUUUCUGACAGCCAUAAAAUUGCCGAAACUUGUCUAUAGUAACUUUUGCCACACUGAAAACUAUUUUUGUCUGUUCGAUAAUUAUAUUUCCUAUACUUUUUCUGGUGAUAAUGAUAACACAAGUCAUUCGACAAUCAACAGCGAUCCUUCCCAAGAUCAGCGCACGUACACGCAAAACGCGGAACACCCUCCCUGUGCGUCCCAGGCUUCACCAAGAGAUGGCGCAGUCCUUGCGCUAAGGUCCUCAUUUGACCUCUCCAGAAGCCUCUGAGCAUUGUAGAAGAACUGACUACGAUUCGUACCUUCACUUCCGAAUGAGAAACGCACAUUAAGAAAAUUCUGGCGUAAUUUAAUGAUUCCUUCAAAACUACUGAGCUGUAUCUUAUUUUCCCUACAGCUUUUGUAAGCCUUAAUGAAUAAAAUCAUACUAAGAACUCAAAAGGGUGAUGACAAUCUGCACAAAUUCCACGUUACAAUGUGACUUGAAAUUUUUUAACCUUAAGCCCUCAUGUAUAUGGAUAUCCAUAUUUUAAAACUGCCACGUGCAGAUCUAAUAGUUCACACAUGUACUAAUCUUGCCCCGAUCUAGCUAGCAGGCCAGCAUGCGUAAGAACAACUGGUGAGCCCAUCAUCAAAGCUGAUUCUGGUAACUUUAAAACUUCAUACACGCAAGAUGAAUAAAAAAAGAUACUGAUGCUAUUUGCUAGAGUCGAGAAUAUGCACACAAGCAAGGACAGCAAGGCUGGACUACUACCACACUAAAUGCAGUGGGCUUCCAGGCGUCAGGGCCCAUCUGAACAAAGCAGAUGGGCUGCAGGCUGAAGAUCCCUGGCAUCUCUCCUAGAAUGGUCCAUUUUUGUUAUGGCUGAGUUGCCUUUCUUAAGUGUUCAGUCACUCAAGAGUCUUGUAAGGACUGAGAAUGGAUCAUCAAGAGCAUUUAGCUGUUCAGAUUCCUUUGGUUUCAUUGGAAAUCAUAAGCAUUUUUGAACCAGUGAAGGCUUUUGCUGUACCAAAGACACUAAGUUUUUGGUUCCUAAUCACUAUUGCUCCACAUUAGUGUAGAGUUGAGCAUGUAACACGUUCCAAAUUAAUAACAAUAAUACAUACACUAAAAGUAUUUUGCCUAUCAUUACUGGCACAUAUUUAAUAUCAAACCAUAUGUGAGCUUUCAUUAUCAAGUAAUGCAACUCCUAGAAGUACUGUUUAAUUCUUACUCCAACAAAUAAAUAUGAAGCACUGACAGUUU
ensembl:lncRNA